AUGGAAUCGGGAGCUACACAUGCAGCCGAGCGGUAGAGAUUCUUCGGAAUCUUGAGAGCGGCGUACGGGUGCGGAACACGUGUGCAACCUGCCUUUAUCUGGGGGAUAGCCUUUCGAAAGGAAGAUUAAUACCCCAUAACAUAUUGAGUGGCAUCACUUGAUAUUGAAAACUCCGGUGGAUAGAGAUGGGCACGCGCAAGAUUAGAUAGUUGGUGAGGUAACGGCUCACCAAGUCAAUGAUCUUUAGGGGGCCUGAGAGGGUGAUCCCCCACACUGGUACUGAGACACGGACCAGACUCCUACGGGAGGCAGCAGUGAGGAAUAUUGGACAAUGGGUGAGAGCCUGAUCCAGCCAUCCCGCGUGAAGGACGACGGCCCUAUGGGUUGUAAACUUCUUUUGUAUAGGGAUAAACCUUUCCACGUGUGGAAAGCUGAAGGUACUAUACGAAUAAGCACCGGCUAACUCCGUGCCAGCAGCCGCGGUAAUACGGAGGGUGCAAGCGUUAUCCGGAUUUAUUGGGUUUAAAGGGUCCGUAGGCGGGCUCGUAAGUCAGUGGUGAAAUCUCAUAGCUUAACUAUGAAACUGCCAUUGAUACUGCGAGCCUUGAGUAAGGUAGAGGUAGCUGGAAUAAGUAGUGUAGCGGUGAAAUGCAUAGAUAUUACUUAGAACACCAAUUGCGAAGGCAGGUUACCAUGUCUUAACUGACGCUGAUGGACGAAAGCGUGGGGAGCGAACAGGAUUAGAUACCCUGGUAGUCCACGCCGUAAACGAUGCUAACUCGUUUUUGGGUCUUCGGAUUCAGAGACUAAGCGAAAGUGAUAAGUUAGCCACCUGGGGGAGUACGUUCGCAAGAAUGAAACUCAAAGGAAUUGACGGGGGCCCGCACAAGCGGUGGAUUAUGUGGUUUAAUUCGAUGAUACGCGAGGAACCUUACCAAGGCUUAAAUGGGAAUUGACAGGUUUAGAAAUAGACUUUUCUUCGGACAAUUUUCAAGGUGCUGCAUGGGUUGUCGUCCACCUCCUGCCCCUGAAGGUGUUAAGGUUAAAUUCCUGCAACCAAGCGCAACCCCCGGUCACUAAUUUGCUAACCAUUAAAUUUGAGGAACUCUUUUGGAGACUGCCCUACCCCAGUUAAGAAAGGAAAGGUGGGGGGAUAGACA
rnacentral:rRNA from 1 species